rnacentral:rRNA from 1 species
UACAGAGGGGGCAAGCGUUGUUCGGAAUUACUGGGCGUAAAGGGCGCGUAGGCGGCCUGCUAAGUCGAACGUGAAAUCCCCGGGCUCAACCCGGGAACUGCGUCCGAUACUGGCAGGCUUGAAUCCGGGAGAGGGAUGCGGAAUUCCAGGUGUAGCGGUGAAAUGCGUAGAUAUCGGAAGGAACAUCAGUGGCGAAAGCGGCUUCCUGGACCAGCACCGACGUUCAGGCACGAAAGCGUGGGGAGCAAACAGG